rnacentral:rRNA from 1 species
CCCUUAGAUGUUCUGGGCCGCACGCGCGCUACACUGACUACUUCAACGAGUUGUUUCCUUGAUCGAAAGGUCUGGGUAAUCUUUGAAAGGUAGUCGUGAUGGGGAUAGAUCCUUGCAAUUUUUGAUCUUCAACGAGGAAUUCCUAGUAAACGCAAGUCAUCAGCUUGCAUUGAUUACGUCCCUGCCCUUUGUACACACCGCCCGUCGCACCUACCGAUUGAAUGGUCCGGUGAAUCUUUAGGACUGUGGCUGAGGCCUUGCCUUGUGCGGGUCUGGCCGUGGGAAUUUAGUUAAACCUUACCAUUUAGAGGAAGGUGAAGUUGUAACA